rnacentral:rRNA from 1 species
AGAGCGAACGCUGGCGGCAGGCUUAACACAUGCAAGUCGAGCGGAAAGGCCCUUCGGGGUACUCGAGCGGCGAACGGGUGAGUAACACGUGAGCAACCUGCCCUUAGCUCUGGGAUAGCUCCGGGAAACCGGAAUUAAUACCGGAUAUGACCUAGGCCGACAUCGGCCGUGGUGGAAAGUUUUUCGGCUAGGGAUGGACUCGCGGCCUAUCAGCUAGUUGGUGGGGUAAUGGCCUACCAAGGCGACGACGGGUA